CCUACGGGGGGCAGCAGUGGGGAAUAUUGGGCAAUGGGCGCAAGCCUGACCCAGCAACGCCGCGUGAAGGAAGAAGGCUCUCGGGUUGUAAACUUCUUUUAUCAGGGACGAAGCAAGUGACGGUACUUGCUGAAUAAGCCACGGCUAACUACGUGCCAGCAGCCGCGGUAAUACGUAGGUGGCAAGCGUUAUCCGGAUUUACUGGGUGUAAAGGUCGUGUAGGCGGGAGUGCAAGUCAGAUGUGAAAACUAUGGGCUCAACCCAUAGCCUGCAUUUGAAACUGUACUUCUUGAGUGCUGGAGAGGCAAUCGGAAUUCCGUGUGUAGCGGUGAAAUGCGUAGAUAUACGGAGGAAGACCAGUGGCGAAGGCGGAUUGCUGGACAGUAACUGACGCUGAGGCGCGAAAGCGUGGGGAGCAAACAGGAUUAGAUACCCCAGUAGUC
rnacentral:rRNA from 1 species